CUGCCAGUCUUCAACAGUGAUGGAUAAUCUAGAAAAAGAAAAUUCUAUAUUGGGUCCCCCUAUCAUUCGUGAAACAGGGUCCACGUCGGGUACAUCUAAACUGCCUCCUGUUUCCUUGCGCUGUUCCAAUCAAAGCUCAUAGCCGGGCCAGAAAGGUGUGUUUGGCUGCUAAAGAGCAACGAAGUGACUAUGUUGCUCUAAAAAAUAUUCUGCACUACCAAUACUGUCGUGCAAAGAGGUUUGAAUAUGAACAUCCAAGAUUUUGCUGUAACAGUGGUGCAAUAAGGUCGACAUCUCAUAAAAUGCUACCUGAAUUAUCAGAGUUAUACUUUGGAAAUACUGAAGAAUCUGAAAACUUUCAAACUUAUAUUAGAACGUACAACAACAUAUUUGCAUUUACUUCACUUGGUGUAAUGUAUGAUAAAGAGCUAGCGAGAAAAAAUUGUGGUAUCUACACAUUUAGAGUCCAUGGAAAAAUAUAUCAUUUUAUAGAUGAUUUAAUUCCUUCCAAUGAAAAACCCAGGAAUUUACAGUUGUACUUCUAUGAUCAUGAUCAUGAACUAGCCAAUAGGAUGGCUUGUUCGACAAGAACUAAUGAAUCAAUAGUGAAAAAGUUGAUGGACAUAUUGAAAGUAAAU